GACGAACGCUGGCGGCGCGCCUAACACAUGCAAGUCGAACGAGCGAGAGAGAGCUUGCUUUCUCGAGCGAGUGGCGAACGGGUGAGUAACGCGUGAGGAACCUGCCUCAAAGAGGGGGACAACAGUUGGAAACGACUGCUAAUACCGCAUAAGCCCACGGCUCGGCAUCGAGCAGGUGGAAAAGGAGCAAUCCGCUUUGAGAUGGCCUCGCGUCCGAUUAGCUAGUUGGUGAGGUAACGGCCCACCAAGGCGACGAUCGGUAGCCGGACUGAGAGGUUGAACGGCCACAUUGGGACUGAGACACGGCCCAGACUCCUACGGGAGGCAGCAGUGGGGAAUAUUGCACAAUGGGGGAAACCCUGAUGCAGCGACGCCGCGUGGAGGAAGAAGGUCUUCGGAUUGUAAACUCCUGUUGUUGGGGAAGAUAAUGACGGUACCCAACAAGGAAGUGACGGCUAACUACGUGCCAGCAGCCGCGGUAAAACGUAGGUCACAAGCGUUGUCCGGAAUUACUGGGUGUAAAGGGAGCGCAGGCGGGAAGACAAGUUGGAAGUGAAAUCUAUGGGCUCAACCCAUAAACUGCUUUCAAAACUGUUUUUCUUGAGUAGUGGAGAGGUAGGCGGAAUUCCCGGUGUAGCGGUGGAAUGCGUAGAUAUCGGGAGGAACACCAGUGGCGAAGGCGGCCUACUGGGCACCAACUGACGCUGAGGCUCGAAAGUGUGGGUAGCAAACAGGAUGAGAUACCCUGGUAGUCCACCCCGUAAACGAUGCCUACUAGGUGUGGAGGAUUGACCCCUUCAGUGCCGCAGUUAACCCAAUAAGUAUUCCACCUGGGGAGUACGACCGCAAGGUUGAAACUCAAAGGAAUUGACGGGGGCCCGCACAAGCAGUGGAGUAUGUGGUUUAAUUCGACGCAACGCGAAGAACCUUACCAAGUCUUGACAUCCCUCGACAGACAUAGAAAUAUGUAAUCUCUUCGGAGCAAGGAGACAGGUGGUGCAUGGUUGUCGUCAGCUCGUGUCGUGAGAUGUUGGGUUAAGUCCCGCAACGAGCGCAACCCUUAUGGUCAGUUACUACGCAAGAGGACUCUGGCCAGACUGCCGUUGACAAAACGGAGGAAGGUGGGGAGGACGUCAAAUCAUCAUGCCCCCUAUGACUUGGGCUACACACGUACUACAAUGGCGUUAAACAAAGAGAAGCAAGACCGCGAGGUGGAGCAAAACUCAGAAACAACGUCCCAGUUCGGACUGCAGGCUGCAACUCGCCUGCACGAAGUCGGAAUUGCUAGUAAUCGUGGAUCAGCAUGCCACGGUGAAU
rnacentral:rRNA from 1 species